UUCCUACGGGACGCAGCAGUGGGGAAUAUUGCGCAAUGGGCGAAAGCCUGACGCAGCGACGCCGCGUGAGGGAUGAAGGUCUUCGGAUCGUAAACCUCUGUCAGCAGGGAAGAACGGUCACUGUGCUAAUCAGCAGUGAAUUGACGGUACCUGCAAAGGAAGCACCGGCUAACUCCGUGCCAGCAGCCGCGGUAAUACGGAGGGUGCGAGCGUUAAUCGGAAUUACUGGGCGUAAAGCGCUCGUAGGCGGUAUGUCACGUAAAGGGUGAAAUCCGCGCGCUCACCGUGGGAACUGCCUUUGAAAC
rnacentral:rRNA from 1 species